rnacentral:rRNA from 1 species
CCUACGGGAGGCAGCAGUGGGGAAUAUUGCACAAUGGGCGUAAGCCUGAUGCAGCGACGCCGCGUGGGUGAGGAAGUACUUCGGUAUGUAAAGCCCUAUCAGCAGGGAAGAAAAUGACGGUACCUGACUAAGAAGCCCCGGCUAACUACGUGCCAGCAGCCGCGGUAAUACGUAGGGGGCAAGCGUUAUCCGGAUUUACUGGGUGUAAAGGGAGCGUAGGCGGCGUGCCAAGUCUGGUGUGAAAGUCCGGGGCUCAACCCCGGGACUGCAUUGGAAACUGGCAUGCUUGAGUGCCGGAGGGGUGAGCGGAAUUCCUAGUGUAGCGGUGAAAUGCGUAGAUAUUAGGAGGAACACCGGUGGCGAAGGCGGCUUACUGGACUGUAACUGACGUUGAGGCUCGAAAGCGUGGGGAGCAAACAGGAUUAGAUACCCUGGUAGUC